UACGUAGGGUGCGAGCGUUAAUCGGAAUUACUGGGCGUAAAGCGUGCGCAGGCGGCUUUGCAAGACAGAUGUGAAAUCCCCGGGCUCAACCUGGGAACUGCAUUUGUGACUGCAAAGCUGGAGUGCGGCAGAGGGGGAUGGAAUUCCGCGUGUAGCAGUGAAAUGCGUAGAUAUGCGGAGGAACACCGAUGGCGAAGGCAAUCCCCUGGGCCUGCACUGACGCUCAUGCACGAAAGCAUGGGGAGCAAACAGG
rnacentral:rRNA from 1 species